rnacentral:rRNA from 1 species
GCCUUAGUAGCGGCGAGUGAAGCGGCAAAAGCUCAAAUUUGAAAUCUGGCACCUUCGGUGUCCGAGUUGUAAUUUGAAGAUUGUAACCUUGGGGUUGGCUCUUGUCUAUGUUUCUUGGAACAGGACGUCACAGAGGGUGAGAAUCCCGUGCGAUGAGAUGCCCAAUCCUAUGUAAGGUGCUUUCGAAGAGUCGAGUUGUUUGGGAAUGCAGCUCUAAGUGGGUGGUAAAUUCCAUCUAAAGCUAAAUAUUGGCGAGAGACCGAUAGCGAACAAGUACAGUGAUGGAAAGAUGAAAAGAACUUUGAAAAGAGAGUGAAAAAGUACGUGAAAUUGUUGAAAGGGAAGGGUUUGAGAUCAAA